AUGCUCAAAAUUCUCCAACCCAGGCUUCAGCAAUACAUGAACUGUGAACUCCCUGAUGUUCAAGCUGGUUUUAGAAAAGGCAGAGGAACCAGAGAUCAAAUUGCCAAGAUCCGCUGGAUCAUGGAAAAAGCAAGAGAGUUCCAGAAAAACAUCUAUUUCUGCUUUAUUGGCUAUGCCAAAGCCUUUGACUGUGUGGAUCACAAUAGACUGUGGAAAAUUCUUCAAGAGAUGGGAAUCCCAGACCACCUGACCUGCCUCUUGAGAAACCUGUAUGCAGGUCAGGAAGCAACAGUUAGAACUGGAUAUGGAACAACAGACUGGUUCCAAAUAGGAAAAGGAGUAUGUCAAGACUGUAUAUUGUUACCCUGCUUAUUUAACUUCUAUGCAGAGUACAUCAUGAGAAAUGCUAGACUGGAAGACACACAAGCUGGAAUCAAGAUUACUGGGAGAAAUAUCAAUAACCUCAGAUAUGCAGAUGACACCACCCUUAUGGCAGAAAGUGAAGAGGAGUUAAAAAGCCUCUUGAUGAAAGUGAAAGAGGAGAGCGAAAAUGUUGGCUUAAAGCUCAACAUUCAGAAAACGAAGAUCAUGGCAUCUGGUCCCAUCACUUCAUGGGAAAUAGAUGGGGAAACAGUGGAAACAAUGUCAAACUUUAUUUUGGGGGGCUCCAAAAUCACUGCAGAUGGUGACUGCAGCCAUGAAAUUAAAAGACGCUUACUCCUUGGAAGAAAAGUUAUGAGCAACCUAAAUAGUAUAUUCAAAAGCAGAGACAUUACUUUGCCGACUAAGGUCCAUCUAGUCAAGGCUAUGGUUUUUCCUGUGGUCAUGUAUGGAUGUGACAGUUGGACUGUGAAGAAGGCUGAUCACCAAAGAAUUGAUGCUUUUGAACUGUGGUGUUGGAGAAGACUCUUGAGAGUCCCUUGGACUGCAAGGAGAUCCAACCAGUCCAUUCUGAAGAUCAGUCUUUGGUGUUCUUUGGAAGGAAUGAUGCUAAAGCUGAAACUCCAGUACUUUGGCCACCUCAUGCGAAGAGCUGACUCAUUGGAAAAGACUCUGAUGCUGGGAGGGAUUGGCGGCAGGAGGAGAAGGGGACGACUGAGGAUGAGAUGGCUGGAUGGCAUCACGGAUUCUAUGGACGUGAGUUUGAGUGAACUCCGGGAGAUGGUGAUGGACAGGGAGGCCUGGCAUGCUGUGAUUCAUGGGGUUGCAAAGAGUUGGACAUGA
rnacentral:lncRNA from 1 species